rnacentral:rRNA from 1 species
AUUCGCGGCCUAUCAGCUUGUUGGUGGGGUAAUGGCCUACCAAGGCGACGACGGGUAGCCGACCUGAGAGGGUGACCGGCCACACUGGGACUGAGACACGGCCCAGACUCCUACGGGAGGCAGCAGUGGGGAAUAUUGCACAAUGGGCGAAAGCCUGGUGCAGCGACGCCGCGUGAGGGAUGACGGCCUUCGGGUUGUAAACCUCUUUCAGCAGGGACGAAGCGCAAGUGACGGUACCUGCAGAAGAAGCACCGGCUAACUACGUGCCAGCAGCCGCGGUAAUACGUAGGGUGCAAGCGUUGUCCGGAAUUACUGGGCGUAAAGAGUUCGUAGGCGGUUUGUCGCGUCGUUUGUGAAAACCAGCAGCUCAACUGCUGGCUUGCAGGCGAUACGGGCAGACUUGAGUACUGCAGGGGAGACUGGAAUUCCUGGUGUAGCGGUGAAAUGCGCAGAUAUCAGGAGGAACACCGGUGGCGAAGGCGGGUCUCUGGGCAGUAACUGACGCUGAGGAACGAAAGCGUGGGUAGCGAACAGGAUUAGACACCCUGGUAGUCCACGCCGUAAACGGUGGGCGCUAGGUGUGGGUUCCUUCCACGGAAUCCGUGCCGUAGCUAACGCAUUAAGCGCCCCGCCUGGGGAGUACGGAAU